rnacentral:rRNA from 1 species
UGGGGAAUAUUGCACAAUGGGCGCAAGCCUGAUGCAGCCAUGCCGCGUGUAUGAAGAAGGCCUUCGGGUUGUAAAGUACUUUCAGCGGGGAGGAAGGGAGUAAAGUUAAUACCUUUGCUCAUUGACGUUACCCGCAGAAGAAGCACCGGCUAACUCCGUGCCAGCAGCCGCGGUAAUACGGAGGGUGCAAGCGUUAAUCGGAAUUACUGGGCGUAAAGCGCACGCAGGCGGUUUGUUAAGUCAGAUGUGAAAUCCCCGGGCUCAACCUGGGAACUGCAUCUGAUACUGGCAAGCUUGAGUCUCGUAGGGGGGGGUAGGAUUCCAGGUGUAGCGGUGAAAUGCGUAGAGAUCUGGAGGAAUACCGGUGGCGAAGGCGGCCCCCUGGACGAAGACUGACGCUCAGGUGCGAAAGCGUGGGGAGCAAACAGG